AUCCGUGAUAGAAUCCCCCUAACCACCAAUUCAUCCAAUGAAAGACCCCCAGAGUAUGGAGACCCUCACUCAAGUCUCGGGAUAAGCCGAUGCCCCAAUAAUUCAAGAGGGACU
rnacentral:pre_miRNA from 11 species